UACGAAGGGGGCUAGCGUUGCUCGGAAUUACUGGGCGUAAAGGGCGCGUAGGCGGCGGUGUUAGUCAGGCGUGAAAGCCCUGGGCUCAACCUGGGGACUGCGCUUGAUACGGCAUUGCUAGAGGAUGGAAGAGGGUCGCGGAAUUCCCAGUGUAGAGGUGAAAUUCGUAGAUAUCAGGAGGAACGCCGGAGGCGAAAGCGAGUGACUGGCGCGUUCCUGACGCUCAGGUGCGAAAGCCAGGGGAGCGAACGGG
rnacentral:rRNA from 1 species